rnacentral:rRNA from 1 species
AGUGGUAGUUAGGUCACAGCCGAUUCCGUACGUCCGAAGGGAAUACGCAAUCGAGUGGACCGGCCGAAUCUACGAGGCAGCAGUGGGAAUGCAUGAGCAAGCUGAUCAGCAUGCGCGUGUGGAGGAGCCUCGGGUUGUAAGCACUUUCAGUGGGAAGAGAGCUCGCGGCUAAUUUCGCGAGGACGACAUCACCCACAGAGAAGCACCGGCUAACUCGUGCAGCAGCGCGGUAUACGGAGGGUGCGAGCGUUAAUCGGAAUUACUGGGCGUAAAGCGCGCGUAGGUGGCUUGAUAAGCCGGUUGUGAAAGCCCCGGGCUCAACCUGGGAACGGCAUCCGGAACUGUCAGGCUAGAGUGCAGGAGAGGAAGGUAGAAUUCCCGGUGUAGCGGUGAAAUGCGUAGAGAUCGGGAGGAAUACCAGUGGCGAAGGCGGCUUCUGGACUGACACUGACACUGAGGUGCGAAAGCGUGGGUAGCAAACAGGAUUAGAUACCCUGGUAGUCCACGCCGUAAACGAUGUCGACUAGCCGUUGGGUCCUUCGCGGACUUUGUGGCGCAGUUAACGCGAUAAGUCGACCGCCUGGGGAGUACGGCCGCAAGGUUAAAACUCAAAUGAAUUGACGGGGGCCCGCACAAGCGGUGGAGCAUGUGGUUUAAUUCGAUGCAACGCGAAGAACCUUACCUACCCUUGACAUCCUGCGAACCCUUCGGAGACGAAGGGGUGCCUUCGGGAACGCAGAGACAGGUGCUGCAUGGCUGUCGUCAGCUCGUGUUGUGAAAUGUUGGGUUAAGUCCCGUAACGAGCGCAACCCUUGUCCUUAUUUGCCAGCGAGUAAAGUCGGGAACUCUAAGGAGACUGCCGGUGACAAACCGGAGGAAGGUGGGGACGACGUCAAGUCAUCAUGGCCCUUACGGGUAGGGCUACACACGUGCUACAAUGGUCAGUACAAAGGGUUGCGAACUCGCGAGAGCAAGCCAAUCCCAGAAAGCUGAUCUCAGUCCGGAUCGGAGUCUGCAACUCGACUCCGUGAAGUCGGAAUCGCUAGUAAUCGUGAAUCAGAAUGUCACGGUGAAUACGUUCCCGGGCCUUGUACACACCGCCCGUCACACCAUGGGAGUGGACUGCACCAGAAGUGGUUAGCCUAACCUUCGGGAAAGCGAUCACCACGGUGUGGUUCAUGACUGGGGUGAAGUCGUAACAAGGUAACCAAUCUCUAGAGGUCCCCCCGAUCCGGUCCU